UACGUAGGGUGCAAGCGUUAUCCGGAAUUAUUGGGCGAAAAGAGCUCGUAGGCGGUUUGUCGCGUCUGCUGUGAAAACUGGAGGCUCAACCUCCAGCCUGCAGUGGGUACGGGCAGACUAGAGUGCGGUAGGGGAGAUUGGAAUUCCUGGGUGUAGCGGUGGAAUGCGCAGAUAUCAGGAGGAACACCGAUGGCGAAGGCAGAUCUCUGGGCCGUAACUGACGCUGAGGAGCGAAAGCAUGGGGAGCGAACAGG
rnacentral:rRNA from 1 species